rnacentral:misc_RNA from 1 species
CUGCAAUUCAUUAAUCUCUCGAGUGAGUAAGCCAAUAAGUAGUAGUGGUGGCAAUUCGUGCUCACAGGUCAAGUUAGUGUCGUGUCAACAUAUAAAUAUAACAAAAUUUAGGUCAACACGAACACAAUACGAUUUGGUAAUCAUGUCAAAAUACAAACACCAACACAACCCAUUUUUAAAUGGGUAACAUGCACUGUUUUUAGAAUCUUAUGAUUCUCUAUUCAAAUCUUAUGAUUUGAUUCGAU